rnacentral:rRNA from 1 species
AUGAACGCUGGCGGCGUGCCUAAUCCAUGCAAGUCGAGCGAACAGACGAGGAGCUUGCUCCUCUGACGUUCGCGGCGGAUGGGUGAGUAACACGUGGAUAACCUACCUAUAAGACUGGGAUAACUUUGGGAAACCGGAGCUAAUACCGGAUAAUAUAUUGAACCGCAUGGUUCAAUAGUGAAGGACGGUUUUGUUGUAACUUAUAGAUGGAUCCGCGCCGCAUUAGCUAGUUGGUAAGGUAACGGCUUACCAAGGCAACGAUGCGUAGCCGACCUGAGAGGGUGGUCGGCCACACUGGAACUGAGACACGGCCCAGACUCCGACGGGAGGCAGCAGUAGGGAAUCUUCCGCAAUGGGCGAGAGCUGAACGGAGCAACGCCGCGUGAGUGAUGAAGGUCUUCUGAUCGUAAAGCGCUGUUAUUAGGGAAGAACAAAUGUGUAAGUAACUAUGCACGUCUUGACGGUACCUAAUCAGAAAGCCACGGCUAACUACGUG